rnacentral:rRNA from 1 species
AUUGAACGCUGGCGGCAGGCCUAACACAUGCAAGUCGAACGAGUGGCGGACGGGUGAGUAAUGUCUGGGAAACUGCCUGAUGGAGGGGGAUAACUACUGGAAACGGUAGCUAAUACCGCAUACCAUCGGAUGUGCACAGAUGGGAUUAGCUUGUUGGUGGGGUAACGGCUCACCAAGGCCACGAUCCCUAGCUGGUCUGAGAGGAUGACCCGCCACACUGGAACUGAGACACGGUCCAGACUCCUACGGGAGGCAGAAGGGGGGAAUAUUGCCCAAUGGGCGCAAGCCUGAUGCAGCCAUGCCGCGUGUAUGAAGAAGGUCUUCGGGUUGUAAAGUACUUUCAGCGGGGAGGCGUUACCCGCCGAAGAAGCACCGGCUAACUACGUGCCAGCAGCCGCGGUAAUAC